GAUGAACGCUAGCGGCAGGCUUAACACAUGCAAGUCGAGGGGCAGCAUGAGACGGAGAUUCGUCGAAGUCUUGAUGGCGACCGGCGCAAGGGUGCGUAACGCGUGAGCAACUUGCCCGUUUCAGGGGGAUAACCGGUGGAAACGCCGACUAAUACCCCAUGGUAUGUUUUGAGGCAUCUCUUAAACAUUAAAGAAUUUCGGAAACGGAUAGGCUCGCGUGACAUUAGCUAGAUGGCGGGGUAACGGCCCACCAUGGCGACGAUGUCUAGGGGUUCUGAGAGGAAGGUCCCCCACACUGGAACUGAGACACGGUCCAG
rnacentral:rRNA from 1 species